rnacentral:rRNA from 1 species
AACGCGAAGAACCUUACCUACCCUUGACAUCCUAAGAAUUCUGCAGAGAUGCGGAAGUGCCGAAAGGAACUUAGAGACAGGUGCUGCAUGGCUGUCGUCAGCUCGUGUUGUGAGAUGUUGGGUUAAGUCCCGUAACGAGCGCAACCCUUAUCUUUAGUUGCCAUCAGGUAAAGCUGGGGACUCUAAAGAGACUGCUGGUGAUGAACCGGAGGAAGGCGGGGACGACGUCAAGUCAUCAUGGCCUUUAUGGGUAGGGCUACACACGUGCUACAAUGGGGCGUACAGAGGGUUGCCAACCUGCGAAGGGGAGCCAAUCCCAGAAAGCGCCUCGUAGUCCGGAUCGGAGUCUGCAACUCGACUCCGUGAAGUCGGAAUCGCUAGUAAUCGCGAAUCAGAACGUCGCGGUGAAUACGUUCCCGGGCCUUGUACACACCGCUACAGU